UGNGGUUUAAUUCGAAGCCAANGNGCAGAACCUUACCNACCCUUGACAUGGCAGGACCGCUGGAGAGNUUCAGCUUUCUUCGUAAGAGACCUGCACACAGGUGCUGCAUGGCUGUCGUCAGCUCGUGUCGUGAGAUGUUCGGUUAAGUCCGNCAACGAGCGCAACCCACGUCCCUAGUUGCCAGCAUUCAGUUGGGGCACUCUAUGGAAACUGCCGAUGAUAAGUCGGGAGGAAGGUGUGGAAUGACGUCAAGUCCUCAUGGCCCUUACGGGUUGGGCUACACACGUGCUACAAUGGGUGGUGACAGUGNGUUAAUCNNCAAAAAGCCNNNUCAGUUCGGGAUNGUCCCUCCUGCCAACUCNGAGGGNC
rnacentral:rRNA from 1 species